rnacentral:rRNA from 1 species
GACGUAGGGCGCGAGCGUUGUCCGGAUUUAUUGGGCGUAAAGAGCUCGUAGGCGGCUUGUCGCGUCGACUGUGAAAACCCGCGGCUUAACUGCGGGACUGCAGUCGAUACGGGCAGGCUAGAGUUCGGUAGGGGAGACUGGAAUUCCUGGUGUAGCGGUGAAAUGCGCAGAGUAUCAGGAGGAACACCGGUGGCGAAGGCGGGUCUCUGGGCCGAUACUGACGCUGAGGAGCGAAAGCGUGGGGAGCGAACAGG